AAGAGUGUGCAAAGCUGUCAUCAAGGCAAAGGGUGGCUACUUUGAAGAAUCUGAAAUAUAACAAAUAUUUUGAUUUGUUUAACACUUUAUUUCCAUAUGUGUUAUUUCAUAGUGUUGGUGUCUUCACUAUUAUUCUACAAAGUAGAAAAUAGUAAAAAUAAAGAAAAACCCUUAAAUGAGUAGGUGUGUCCAAACUUUUGACUGGUACUGUAUAUUCCGCUCUAUUCACUCUCCGAUUCGAAAAUGCUAAUUAGCAUCAACAUAGACAUCAUAUAAGACUACAAAUCCCAACAAGGUCCUGCACAUCAUCUCUGGUGUCAUCGCUGACACCUUUUGCUAACAGGUAUUGUGUCAAUUUAAAAGUUGCACAAGACAGAUUCCAGAAUUGUACAUUUAAAAAGAUUCUGCCAAUUCAUUCAUUACUCUAUUUAGCUAACAUUAGACACGUAAUCCAGAGAUUUGGGGCAGCAGGUAGGCUAGUGGUUAGAGCGUUGGGCCAGUAAACAAAAUGUUGCUGGUUUGAAUCCUCGAGCUGACAAGGUAAAAAAUGUAAUUCUGCCCCUGAACGAGUAAAAAUGUGUUCUUAACUGACUUGCUUAGUUAAAUAAAGGUUACAUUUAAUUUUUGUAUUUUUUAUUAUUACCUUUUCCCUCAUGGCAUUUGUAGUUCUUUAUGAUAGCCACAUUAGCAGCUAAUUAGCAUCACAUUUUGGGGGGGUAAAUACAGGUGAAUAUAUUGAUAAAAGUCACCUUGUCCUCGAGAUUUACAUGGUUAUCAAAACAUCACAUCAGGGUAAGCCUACAUGAAACACAGCCCUUAUUUUAAGUGUUUCCAAAAUCCCCUAUGGGAAAAAUGUAUGGUGUAAAAACGAUUGGAACCAUUUCCCUGUCUGACUGCUAAGUUUUAUGUGUAUUAUGACUCAUACUGUGUUAACUCUAUGGAGGACUGCUUUUCUGAGGAGUGCCAAUAUGGCCACCCGGUGGCUUCAAAGCCUCUCAUUGGUCAAAACAUACAGUAGCAUCAGCAAUCCAGGGUUUAUAUAGGUCAUUGGGAGGGAUACAGUGCUUCCAGGUGGAUAAAGAAAAAAGGGGAAAUCUGGGAUUGCUACAUUCAUUUUGUUGCUGUUUGAAUCCCAGAUUUCCCUUUUAAUGGGAUGUGCGUGAGGUAUGGGAAUGUUUUAGAUAGGCUCAUAGAUAUGCAUGUACAGUAGAUACUGUACAUCAGGGCUAUUCAACUAGCGCUCCACGUGCCAGAUCCGGCCCGUUUAUGAAUUUAUACCCUGAACAUUAAUAAAAGAUCUGUAAAAAAAAGUAAUUAUUUCCACCAAAAUCCGACGUUCAGUGCCAAAAUGACAAGCACUAUGGUGGUUGUCUAUAGUCUGGUUUAUAGUGCCUAUGUAGAAUGUCAAUGAUUUUUGUUCGUCAUAUGCAUUUGGCGGUAGCGUUUGAACGGUUUAAGCGCCAAAAUAUGAUGAAAGCUACAACUCUAAGGAACACAUACGUGCCUUCUGUUGCCCUCUCUAAUGCUCACAAAGACUCAUUAGUGUGCAUAUCAUCAGUUCCAUAGGAUGCUAACAGGUGGAUAAAGACAGUUAAUGUGGUUGUAUAGGAUGGUAACAGGUGGAUAAAGACAGUUCAUGUGGUUCUAUAGGAUGGUAACAGGUGGAUAAAGACAGUUAAUGUGGUUCUAUAGGAUGGUAACAGGUGGAUAAAGACAGUUAAUGUGGUUGUAUAGGAUGGUAACAGGUGGAUAAAGACAGUUAAUGUGGUUGUAUAGGAUGGUAUCAGGUGGAUAAAGACAGUUAAUGUGGUUGUAUAGGAUGGUAACAGGUGGAUAAAGACAGUUAAUGUGGUUCUAUAGGAUGGUAACAGGUAGAUAAAGACAGUUAAUGUGGUUCUAUAGGAUGGUAACAGGUGGAUAGAGACAGUUAAUGUGGUUCUAUAGGAUGGUAACAGGUGGAUAAAGACAGUUAAUGUGGUUCUAUAGGAUGGUAACAGGUGGAUAAAGACAGUUAAUGUGGUUCUAUAGGAUGGUAACAGGUGGAUAAAGACAGUUAAUGUGGUUCUAUAGGAUGGUAACAGGUAGAUAAAGACAGUUAAUGUGGUUCUAUAGGAUGGUAACAGGUGGAUAGAGACAGUUAAUGUGGUUGUAUGGGAUGGUAUCAGGUGGAUAAAGACCGUUAAUGUGAUUGUAUAGGAUGGUAACAGGUGGAUAAAGACAGUUCAUGUGGUUCUAUAGGAUGGUAACAGGUGGAUAAAGACAGUUAAUGUGGUUGUAUAGGAUGGUAACAGGUGGAUAAUGACAGUUAAUGUGGUUCUAUAGGAUGGUAACAGGUGGAUAAAGACAGUUAAUGUGGUUGUAUGGGAUGGUAUCAGGUGGAUAAAGACCGUUAAUGUGGUUGUAUAGGAUGGUAUCAGGUGGAUAAAGACAGUUAAUGUGGUUGUAUAGGAUGGUAUCAGGUGGAUAAAGACCGUUAAUGUGGUUGUAUAGGAUGGUAUCAGGUGGAUAAAGACAGUUAAUGUGGUUGUAUAGGAUGGUAUCAGGUGGAUAAAGACCGUUAAUGUGGUUGUAUAGGAUGGUAUCAGGUGGAUAAAGACAGUUAAUGUGGUUGUAUAGGAUGGUAUCAGGUGGAUAGAGACAGUUAAUGUGGUUGUAUAGGAUGGUAAGAGGUGGAUAAAGACAGUUAAUGUGGUUCUAUAGGAUGGUAACAGGUGGAUAAAGACAGUUAAUGUGGUUGUAUAGGAUGGUAACAGGUGGAUAAAGACAGUUAAUGUGGUUGUAUAGGAUGGUAACAGGUGGAUAAAGACAGUUAAUGUGGUUCUAUAGGAUGGUAACAGGUGGAUAAAGACAGUUAAUGUGGUUAUAUAGGAUGGUAUCAGGUGGAUAAAGACAGUUAAUGUGGUUGUAUAGGAUGGUAAGAGGUGGAUAAAGACAGUUAAUGUGGUUCUAUAGGAUGGUAAGAGGUGGAUAAAGACAGUUAAUGUGGUUGUAUAGGAUGGUAACAGGUGGAUAAAGACAGUUAAUGUGGUUGUAUAGGAUGGUAACAGGUGGAUAAAGACAGUUAAUGUGGUUGUAUGGGAUGGUAUCAGGUGGAUAAAGAAGGGUUAAUGUGGUUCUAUAGGAUGGUAACAGGUGGAUAAAGACAGUUAAUGUGGUUAUAUAGGAUGGUAUCAGGUGGAUAAAGACAGUUCAUGUGGUUGUAUAGGAUGGUAUGAGGUGGAUAAAGACAGUUAAUGUGGUUCUAUAGGAUGGUAAGAGGUGGAUAAAGACAGUUAAUGUGGUUGUAUAGGAUGGUAACAGGUGGAUAAAGACAGUUCAUGUGGUUGUAUAUGAUGGUAACAGGUGGAUAAAGACAGUCAAUGUGGUUGUAUAGGAUGGUAACAGGUGGAUAAAGACAGUUAAUGUGGUUGUAUAGGAUGGUAUCAGGUGGAUAAAGACAGUUAAUGUGGUUGUAUAGGAUGGUAAGAGGUGGAUAAAGACAGUUAAUGUGGUUGUAUAGGAUGGUAUCAGGUGGAUAGAGACAGUUAAUGUGGUUCUAUAGGAUGGUAACAGGUGGAUAAAGACAGUUAAUGUGGUUGUAUAGGAUGGUAUCAGGUGGAUAGAGACAGUUAAUGUGGUUCUAUAGGAUGGUAAGAGGUGGAUAAAGACAGUUAAUGUGGUUGUAUAGGAUGGUAACAGGUGGAUAAAGACAGUUAAUGUGGUUCUAUAGGAUGGUAACAGGUGGAUAGAGACAGACAGUUAUUGUUCAUUGCUUUGUGUUACAGUCAUAAACAGUGUUUUGUCUUGUAGGCUACUUUGUUAGUUUAAAAAACAAAGAUGAAAUAGCCGUUGAGUUUACCACUCAUAUCAUAUAGUUGCUGUUUUAAAUGCUGAUUGGCUGAAAGACGUGAUAUAUCAGAUCGUAUACAUCUCAUGUCAUAUAGUUUCUGUUGAAUGCUCAGGGAAUUGUCUAUAUGUUUUUUUUUACCACUUCUAAACACUUUUCUACCUCUCAUGACAGUACUACAUCUAUUUCUGAUAUCAAUAUGAUACUAUGAUUGUGCUCACAGUAAAUACUGAUCUGAUACUGAUAAAUCUCUCAGUAGAAAUGAAGAAUGUAUUGUUAUGUUAUGUCUAACAUGACCAUCUUGAAUGUAAUGUCUCUGAAAAAUCAUGUGGAAAGUGGCUGAUGUUCCAGACUAUUUUUUGUUCAUUUAAGAUUACAUUUAUUUAACCAGACAAUUCAAUAACAUAUUUAAGUAACAAUGUUGAUAAUAUGUGUUUUAAACAAAUGUAGUGCUGGUUUAUUGCACAGACCAAUUUUGCAGUUAAAAUUAUUUUUUGGUUUUGUAAAUUAUCAUUAUUCUAAGUUAGAAUUACAAAAAUGUAUAAGGCAGCUGAAUUGUAUUACAAUCUUAUUGACAGCAAUUUAUAAAGAUAUGUAUUGUCUAACAUAGACUGUUGUUUGACUGUUUGUGAUAUUUCAGCUAAUUAGCCAGGGUAGGCCGUCAUUGUAAAGAAGAAUUUGUUCUUAACUGACUUGCCUAGUUAAAUAAAGAUUAAAAUAAAAAAAUGAAACUGA